CACGUAGGGGGCAAGCGUUGUCCGGAUUUAUUGGGCGUAAAGAGCUCGUAGGCGGUUUCGUAAGUCGGGUGUGAAAACUCUAGGCUCAACCUAGAGACGCCACCCGAUACUGCGAUGACUAGAGUCCGGUAGGGGAGUGUGGAAUUCCUGGUGUAGCGGUGAAAUGCGCAGAUAUCAGGAGGAACACCAACGGCGAAGGCAGCACUCUGGGCUGGAACUGACGCUGAGGAGCGAAAGCGUGGGUAGCGAACAGG
rnacentral:rRNA from 1 species